CGUUUACCGUGAAAAAAUUAGAGUGUUCAAAGCAGGCAGAUCCAAUUUUCUGCCACCGAAUACAUUAGCAUGGGAUAAUGGAAUAGGACCCUGUCCUCCUAUUUUCAGUUGGUUUUGGCAGCGCGAGGACUAGGGUAAUGAUUAAUAGGGAUAGUUGGGGGCAUUAAUAUUUAAUUGUCAGAGGUGAAAUUCUUGGAUUUAUGAAAGAUUAACUUCUGCGAAAGCAUCUGCCAAGGAUGUUUUCAUUAAUCAAGAACGAAAGUUAGGGGAUCGAAGACGAUCAGAUACCGUCGUAGUCUUAACCAUAAACGAUGCCGACCAGCGAUUAGGAGACGUUGAAUACAAAACACCACCAUCGGCGCGGUCGUCCUUGGCGUCUCGGUCCUUCACGGGGCCGGGGCGCGGGGGCGGCUUAGCCCGGUGGCACCGGUGAAUGACUCCCCUAGCAGCUUGUGAGA
rnacentral:rRNA from 1 species